AGGUAGAGGGGUUUUAGUCGGUAGGUCCGAGGACUUCUUCCUCAGGAAUCCGACACUACCCAGUCGUACAGACGGCUGGGUGUCUUUUGAUGAUUUUCCCUCUUCC
rfam:Agrilus planipennis Contig38970, whole genome shotgun sequence.